UACGGGGGGGGUAAGCGUUGUUCGGAAUUACUGGGCGUAAAGGGCUCGUAGGCGGCCAACUAAGUCAGACGUGAAAUCCCUCAGCUUAACUGGGGAACUGCGUCUGAUACUGGAUGGCUUGGAUUCGGGAGAGGAAUGCGGAAUUCCAGGUGUAGCGGUGAAAUGCGUAGAUAUCUGGAGGAACACCGGUGGCGAAGGCGGCAUUCUGGAGCGAUAUUGACGCUGAGGAGCGAAAGCGUGGGGAGCAAA
rnacentral:rRNA from 1 species